rnacentral:rRNA from 1 species
GGGAUAGAGCAUUGCAAUUAUUGCUCUUCAACGAGGAAUGCCUAGUAAGCGCGUGUCAUCAGCAUGCGUUGAUUACGUCCCUGACCUUU